rnacentral:rRNA from 1 species
UACGUAGGGUGCGAGCGUUGUCCGGAAUUAUUGGGCGUAAAGAGCUCGUAGGCGGUGUGUCGCGUCGGCCGUGAAAACCUGGGGCUCAACUCUGGGCGUGCGGUCGAUACGGGCAUCACUUGAGUUCGGCAGGGGAGACUGGAAUUCCUGGUGUAGCGGUGAAAUGCGCAGAUAUCAGGAGGAACACCGGUGGCAAAGGCGGGUCUCUGGGCCGAUACUGACGCUGAGGAGCGAAAGCAUGGGUAGCGAACAGG